CGGAAUACGAUGGUCCUCUCCUCCUCCCUGGGACCGUCGGAUCGCGGUAAUGGCGUCCUCCUCCCUGCCAUUGCCGCACCCCAUACGCGGCCCCUCCUCCUCCCUGGGCCAGCGUUGCGC
rfam:Paracoccus aminovorans strain DSM 8537 genome assembly, contig: Ga0070007_122